rnacentral:rRNA from 1 species
AGUAUAUAAUAAUUACGAAAGCAAAAAAUUAUGGCGGUAUUUUAAGCUUUUCAGAGGAAUUUGCUCUUUAAUGGAUAAAACACCUAAAUCUUACUUAAAUUUGUCAAAUCAACUUGUAUACCACUAUUAAAACAAUUAUUAACUUUAAUUGUUAAUAUUUAAAAACAUAAAUUAAUUUAAAUUAAGUCAAGGUGCAGUAAAAAUUUAAGAAUGAAGUGAAUUACAUUACUUUUAAGAGAAAUAAAAUUAAAUAAAAUUUAGGAUUUGAAAGUAAAAUUAAAAUAGAAUGUUAAUUUGAAUUAAGCUCUAAAAUAUGUACAUAUCGCCCGUCACUCUUUUUUAAGA